rnacentral:rRNA from 1 species
AUACAUGCAAGUCGACGAUACUCCUUUUGGCUUGCUAGAGAGGAAAGUGGCGCACGGGUGCGUAACGCGUAUGCAACCUACCUUAAUCAGGGGGAUAGCCCGAAGAAAUUCGGAUUAACACCGCAUAAAAUCACAGUACAGCAUUGUACAAUGAUCAAAUAUUUAUAGGAUUAAGAUGGGCAUGCGUGACAUUAGUUAGUUGGCGGGGUAACGGCCCACCAAGACCACGAUGUCUAGGGGAUCUGAGAGGAUGACCCCCCACACUGGUACUGAGACACGGACCAGACUCCUACGGGAGGCAGCAGUAAGGAAUAUUGGUCAAUGGAGGCAACUCUGAACCAGCCAUGCCGCGUGCAGGAAGACAGCCCUCUGGGUCGUAAACUGCUUUUAUUCGGGAAUAAACCUACUUACGUGUAAGUAGCUGAAUGUACCGAAGGAAUAAGGAUCGGCUAACUCCGUGCCAGCAGCCGCGGUAAUACGGAGGAUCCAAGCGUUAUCCGGAUUUAUUGGGUUUAAAGGGUGCGUAGGCGGCUUUUUAAGUCAGGGGUGAAAGACGGUGGCUCAACCAUCGCAGUGCCCUUGAUACUGAAGAGCUUGAAUACAUUAGAGGUAGGCGGAAUGUGACAAGUAGCGGUGAAAUGCAUAGAUAUGUCACAGAACACCGAUUGCGAAGGCAGCUUACUAUGAUGUUAUUGACGCUGAGGCACGAAAGCGUGGGGAUCAAACAGGAUUAGAUACCCUGGUAGUCCACGCCCUAAACGAUGAAUACUCGCUGUUAGCGAUACACAGUUAGCGGCUAAGCGAAAGCGUUAAGUAUUCCACCUGGGGAGUACGGUCGCAAGAUUGAAACUCAAAGGAAUUGACGGGGGCCCGCACAAGCGGAGGAGCAUGUGGUUUAAUUCGAUGAUACGCGAGGAACCUUACCCGGGCUUGAAAGUUAGUGAAUCAUUUAGAGAUAGAUGAGUCCGCAAGGACACGAAACUAGGUGCUGCAUGGCUGUCGUCAGCUCGUGCCGUGAGGUGUUGGGUUAAGUCCCGCAACGAGCGCAACCCCUAUGUUUAGUUGCCAGCACGUAAUGGUGGGGACUCUAAACAGACUGCCUGUGCAAACAGAGAGGAAGGAGGGGACGACGUCAAGUCAUCAUGGCCCUUACGUCCGGGGCUACACACGUGCUACAAUGGAUGGUACAGAGGGCAGCAAGCUGGUAACAGCAAGCAAAUCUCCAAAAGCCAUUCACAGUUCGGAUAGAGGUCUGCAACUCGACCUCUUGAAGUUGGAUUCGCUAGUAAUCGUAUAUCAGCAAUGAUACGGUGAAUACGUUCCCGGGCCUUGUACACACCGCCCGUCAAGCCAUGGAAGUUGGGGGUACCUAAAGUAUGUAACCGCAAGGAGCGUCC